rnacentral:lncRNA from 1 species
UCAAAAGAUAAUUAAUACUCUCUUACAACCAGCUUUUUCUCAAAACUUAAGCUUAAAGAGGGAACUAUUCACACAAAUUAUCAACAAAUGCUUAAGUUACGAGAGUGCCUUUUGACGUGAAGAUCGACACUUUUAAGUGAGGGCCCCCAGUUACUCAACACUCGCAUACUCAAGUCACUCAACUACUCUUAAUUCAAGUACCUUUUUAUGCAAAAUUGACAUUUUUAGAUGAAAACUCUCGAUUACUUAGUACAAGAAUCAUUGGAGUAAAAC